rnacentral:lncRNA from 1 species
UUUGUCUUAUAAGCUUGUAUAUAGAGAUCAAGCCAUCGAGCUUAGAAUGCAAUUAGAUUUUACUAAUAUAUAAAUACAUAUGUAUUUUUAUCUGCUCUACUGACUACCUCUUUAGACUCUUUACUGACUGGGACCUUGGAGCUGCCUGAUGCCAUGUGAGAUGCCAUUCUGUAUUUCAUCAGCUGUCAUUCUAGAGAGAUCUGCUAAGGAAAAAGGGUUGAUCCUCCUGUCACCCUGAAGAUGGAUCCAGCAGAUCCAUACAGACUGUCAGCCAUGGGGUGACAAAGGUAGGAUCUCUGAAGCAAGGACCCAACCACUCAAAUCAUCUUCACCUUAACCAGGAAACUGCUUUUCUCCCGGCAGUGGUGGUCCAUAUGAGAAAGCACCAUGAACUGCUUAUUGUUAAAUCUUCCCUGAUCUGA